rnacentral:rRNA from 1 species
GAGAGUGGCGGACGGGUGAGUAACGCGUGGGAACCUGCCCAGCUGGUGGGGGAUAACUGCGGGAAACUGCAGCUAAUACCGCAUGAGCCCGAGAGGGGAAAGAUUUAUCGCCAUUGGAGGGGCCCGCGUUCGAUUAGGUAGUUGGUGAGGUAACGGCUCACCAAGCCGACGAUCGAUAGCUGGUCUGAGAGGAUGAUCAGCCACACUGGGACUGAGAUACGGCCCAGACUCCUACGGGAGGCAGCAGUGGGGAAUAUUGGACAAUGGGGGCAACCCUGAUCCAGCAAUGCCGCGUGAGUGAUGAAGGCCUUCGGGUUGUAAAGCUCUUUUGGCGGGGACGAUGAUGACGGUACCCGCAGAAUAAGCCCCGGCUAACUUCGUGCCAGCAGCCGCGGUAAUACGAAGGGGGCAAGCGUUGUUCGGAAUUACUGGGCGUAAAGGGCGCGUAGGCGGCCGAUCAAGUCAGGCGUGAAAUUCCCGGGCUCAACCUGGGGGCUGCGCUUGAUACUGAUUGGCUUGAAUACGGGAGAGGAUAGUGGAAUUCCCAGUGUAGAGGUGAAAUUCGUAGAUAUUGGGAAGAACACCAGUGGCGAAGGCGGUUAUCUGGCCCGUUAUUGACGCUGAGGCGC